ensembl:lncRNA
UAUUAUUAUUAUUAUUAUUAUUAUUAUUACAAAUGGCAUUUAUACAUACUAGUAAAAUUAUGAAUGCGAUUACACUCACGUGCGCAAUAAAAGCAACGAAUAAAACGCGCUAAAUAUUAAAACUCAUUUCCAGGAAAGAGCAACAUCAACUCGGAGUGAAAAACAUGUUCAUAGGCAAAUAUUUCAGGAGCUUGAUGUGAAAGUUAGUCUUUUUUUUCUUAAUUACUUGAAUGUUUAAUCUGUUUUUUUGAAUAUAUAUUGAAGGCUUCGUUUGCGCGGAGCGUCUGAUUUUAACGCUCGAUGUAUAAAAGAGAACACAGGAGUAUUUCCUCAAAGCAGAAGGCUCUUAAUCAUUUGUAAAAGCUGAAUUACAGUAUUAAUAAUUUAAAAUGAUAACAGCGGUAAUUAUUAAUUUACAAAAUAAUAACAUUCGAAAAUAUAGCACUGUGCAGGCGCGCGAGAGAUUUUAAUUUCGCGAAAUUAAACAUCACCUGCAGAUCUAUAUGCACAUAAAAAUAAAGAUCUGCGUUUUGCGCUGUUUUUCAUUAGCGCUGUGCAAGUUAUUAUGAGCAGUUUAAUUCUUUACAGUUAUUGUCUAUGUUUAAGUGUAUUUAUUCACCAAGAAUCACAAACGAACAAAUAUAAUUUUAAUGGCUGUUCAUUCGAGAAAAUAGACGUGCAAAUAAUUCAUUUUGAAAUUCUAAAAUAUAUGCUGAAAGAAAAAGAAAGGAAGAGAAGUGAAAGGAAGGGCGGUGAGCUGAUUUUAAUAUUAAUAGGCGACAGGAGGUGGACUGAAUUGCGCCUGUGACAGGAAUGAUGGAUGAUCCGGCCUUCAUCAUCAUCUUCAUCAUCUUCUUCUUCUUCAUCGUGUCAGAGUCACGGGAAUACAAGAACACACAAAAACAGAUGAAAUGCGCGCAAUAAACGGGAGAAAACGAGCAGGUACACUCCUCUACGCGAUCACACACACACCACACACACACACACCGCCGAGGAACGACUCUAGCUUUCUACUUAUAUCACUUAUAUAAAGCAGAGACCGUGUUCCCACUGAAGCGGCAUCUGCUGUGUGUUUGUGUGUGUGUGUGUGUGUGUGUGUGUGUGUGUGUGUGUUUGUGGGCCCCGGGGGUCACGCGCAGAGGCCCCUGAUCAUUAAUCACUGUCAGCAUCACAGUGAUUCUCUAUUGAUGAGGAUAAUGACAUUAGCUCACAGUCACUGAUCAAUAAAGCACACGCAGGGAAAUAAUACCGACUCUCUCUCUCUCUUUCACCCUUUCCGUUCUUUCUCAGUUUUUCAUUUCGAAACAGAGUAAACAAAGCCUGCAUCGGUGGAUCUGCUCUGCGUUUCUUCACUUCAGCUCAAAGCACAGCAAACACAGAUUCUCAUUACCUCACGCUCAGCUGACAGAAACCUCACUAAUAAUUCAUAACUCAAGAUUUAUUUCAAAAAAAAAAAAGAAAGAAAGAAAAAGAAAAAAAGCUAUUUGUAUUUUUUUCUGUAUUUAAUUUCACACCGAUGAUAAAGACGAUUUUAAAACAUAAACUAGGGCAAAAAUACAUAAAGUAUGUGAUGAGCGGGCUCGAUAUUCGCACAUAAUUUACGGCAAC